GUGCUCACUUCAGCAGCACAUAUACUAAAAUUGGAAUGAUACAGACAGAAUUAGCAUAGCCCCUGCACAAGGAUGACAUGCAAAAUUCGUGAGGUGUUCCAUAUUUCU